rnacentral:rRNA from 1 species
UACGAGGGGGGCAAGCGUUGUUCGGAAUUAUUGGGCGUAAAGGGCGCGUAGGCGGUGUCGCAAGUCCGUGGUGAAAUCUCUAGGCUCAACUUAGAGACUGCCGCGGAAACUGCGGUGCUUGAGUGUGGGAGAGGUGCGUGGAAUUCCCGGUGUAGCGGUGAAAUGCGUAGAUAUCUGGAGGAACACCGGUGGCGAAGGCGGCAUCCUGGACCGACACUGACGCUGAGGAGCGAAAGCCAGGGGAGCAAACGGG